GCUGGCAGAGGUUAAGGCCUGACUUCUGCUCCCAGUUGACCCAGUCGACCCGGGUUCAAAUCCGCCUGCCGGCUCCUCGGGUGUUUGAGGAGUGAUGAAAUGGGAGGUGGCCCCCCAUCUUAUGGACGGUGUAGGACGUGAUAAUAUCAACUUGCGAGCUGACCAGGAACUAAGUUGAUGCGCCGUUGAUCCGCUAGAUUUGGUUGGAUGCUGGUGGUGAGUUGCCGAACCCAACGAAUACAUUCUGAAGUCGGAUGGGGUGACGGAUUAGGGUGCCCCUCUAGCAGGGGAGAGCAGGGACUGCCCCGGGAAAGGGGGCCGCUGGCGAAGUUAACCACCCUGUAACAACAUACAUACAGCGACCCACGGGACCGUCCUGCUUCCUCUCUUGUUUCCUAGCCCCCACAGAGCUGUUUAACAUCCACUAGGCCCUCCUGGUAACUCUAGAGCUUUCCACCCAAUCACUUUCCAUCCCCAAUUGUGCCGGCAGGUAGUCGGUGGUUGCCUCUGGCCCAGGGUUUUUGCUGCCAAAGGCUUCAGCAGCCGUGCCUGCAGCAGCAGCAACAGUAGCAGCAGCGGCCCUUGGCGUUUGGCGUUGCAUAAGUUCUUCAGGCGGCCGCCGCCACCGUGUCCUCAGCUUCUGGCGGUGCAAAAUCCCCCUGAGCAGCGCGCUCAGACUGACGACGGUGGCUGGUUCGAUGACGAGGAUGGGGACGGCGGUGAUGGCGGUCUGGCCCAAGGGGGAAUCUUUGAUACAGCGGCGGCGGCGGCGGCGGCAGCAGCAGCAGCAGCAGCCAGCGGCAGCUUGAUGUGCCUAAGCUGCUAUGACCAACUCCUACCGGCAGGAUUUGGCACCGCACUGUCGUAUGCAGCUGCCUCCGCCAGCGCCGCCAGCAGCAGCGGUAGCAGCAACAGCGGAAGUAGCAGUAGUGGCAGCAGUAGCAGCAGUAGCUCCGGCAGCACGCGGCCUAAACGGCCAGCCUCUGCCGGCUGCGGCCACUUCUUUUGCUCUGGCUGCAUUACCGAGUACGUGCGGGGGGCGAUCAAGGACGGCAAGUACCCCAUCACCUGCCCCAUGGCUGCGGGGGGAGGUGGAGGCGCAGGAGGGGGACGACAGGGCUGCCGACUGAAGUUCUCGAGGGAAGCUGUCCUGGCGACAUUGGAGGGCCAAACCAAGGAGGUGCAGGUGCGCGGCAAGGCAAGGGAGUGGGGGCGCUCAUGAUCGCAUGAGCGCAUCGUUAUGCCCCUUUGGAUGGGGGUGUUGUUGGGCCAUCGAAAGUGACCUGCCGAGGUCUCACAUCUGAGAUUACACACCUACAGACUGGCUGGCAAAGGUCAGGGGGCGGAGGGAUUGGAAACCUAAAAUCCUGUGGGAAUGAGUCUCAGGAAGCCCCCAGGUACAUGGGCACAUGAAGAUAUUUGAUGCCGUUCAUCAUCGUUCUCAUAGCAGACCACGUCCCCACCAGCCGGCGGUAGCAAGCACCCUAGGAUACAUCAAGUCCUAACCGCGCCUGCCGGCCCCCCUCUCUUUCCCUUCGCCGCCGCCUGCCCCUCCCCCCGAUGCCGUGCCGGAAACCGUGACUCAAACCAGCAGUUGUGGGAGCAGCUGGAGGUGGGGUACGCCCUCCGCAAUCUGCCCCGUAUCUUCUGCCCCCACGCCGCCUGCUCCUGCCCCCUGCUACUGCCGGCAACGGGAGAGCAGCCGCUACCCUCCAACCAGCCCAGCACCUGCCCCGCCUGCGGCAAGGGCUUCUGCCCUCGUUGCCGCAUUCCCGGAUGGCACAAGGUGAGAUGAGGGGAGCUAGGCCGGGCGGACUUGGGGGGCGGGGGGUCCGGGAACCUCUGCAUGGAGAUGUAGGGGCAGGGGGGGGUGGUAAGGCACUUAGCAGGGAUCUGGAUGGGGGAUGGGGAUGGGGAUGGUAGUACAUGGCAGUUGAGUCACAACGGGGCGACAGGGCGGCAGGUGGGGCAGGAGAGGCAGAUAGGAGAGGCAGGUAGGAGAGGGAGCAGACGGCAACUUAACCCCGGUUGCACACGCCCCGGCAUUGUGCACUGGGCGGGAAUGAGGCCCGUUCAGGCCCGCAGCGCAUGAUGCAAUCAAUUGCCUCCAUGAUAUCGCGUGAUAAACAACGACGUCAUCAUUCCGUCUGAGUGACCGGCAAGCAGCUCCCCAGUUAAAUCCCAAGUCAGAGCCGGAGCCUCGAGUCGGGCUCCCGGGCUCCCACACUCUCCGCCGUACACUCCGUGCAGGGCUACAGCUGCGCCCAGUACCAGGCGCUGCCGCCCGAGGAGCGCAACCCCGACACCGCAGCCGUACUGCGCCUCAGUGCGGCUCGCAGCUGGCAGCGCUGCCCCCAGUGCCGCUCCCUGGUGGAGAGGGCCGGUGGCUGCAACUACAUCCGCUGCCGCUGCGGCCGCCAGUUCUGCUACCAGUGCGGACUGCCGUACCUGAGCUCCAAGCCCAGCCCCACCAACCUCCACGGCACACAGGCGUGCAGGUGCCCGCUGUGGCACGGCUGAAUGAGGGCGGGAGGCUGGGGUGGGUGAAGAGGUUUGCAAAGGAUUCGGAUAAGUGAAGGGGGUUAUGGAAGGGGGAAGGUUCAGAGGUCGGAAGGGAGGGCGCUAAAGCUCUCCGCGGGCGCUGAGGGGCUGUGUACAGGCUACGUGUACGACGGAUGGUUACGGAGCUGCUGCGGGAGCUGCAGGCUCAGUGGGGAGCCAGCAUAGCACCUGGCCCCGCACCUUGCCGAGGGGUACCUGGGCAGCUGGGAUAGUAGUACCGUGCCGACAGCAGCGGCACCGGGGAUGGGGACCUGCUCCUGGAGGGUGGAUNNNNNNNNNNNNNNNNNNNNNNNNNNNNNNNNNNNNNNNNNNNNNNNNNNNNNNNNNNNNNNNNNNNNNNNNNNNNNNNNNNNNNNNNNGGGGGGGGGACGUAGGGGAGAGCCGGAGGGAGAGAGAGAGGGGGGAACGAUUCAGCAGGCGGGGGGUGGCAGGUGGCGGGAGCCUCCCUCCAAACUGGAGGAGGAGGGUGAGGCUUUCAUUGCGUCAGUGCGGUGCGGCGCGUUGUUGUGUGGGCCGCCCGAGUGUAUUGUGUAGUCCACUUGCAAUGGCUGUCGAAGGGGGGCGGCGAACGUGAGGCCGCUUGGCGGCUUUGUCUUGCCGGCUUGGUGACCGGAGCAGUUGUCGUUGUGGGUUGUCGAUUGUGACAGCUAUUAGCAUUUUUCGACACCAGUAACUUGUUUGACUUCACGAUGAAAUUCUUCAAUUUCCCACUGUUUUGCGGGUGCUGGGGGAGUUUCUUCUUGCGGCCGUGGAGGUGUCGUUGUCGCUGUGGGAUGGCAGCAGGGGGUUGAAAGAGCUGCACAUUGCGGCAUUUUUGAAGGUUGUUUGUUACGUCGAUAAACCCCUACUCGGUCUGAUGCUGAUGAGCCUUGGUGGGAAGAAGCAGUUCGGUUUUGUUGUUAUUUGAUGAGUCCUGCUCCUGUUACCAUGCCAUAGUUUGUUUUUAAAGGAAACGCGCCGUUGUCGUGUUAAUGUUUGUGAUAUUGCCUCUGUACGAACCGCCGCCGGCUGCACGAGGGACUUGCCUGCGCCGGUCCCGACAAGCACCGAAGAAUGAUAAUACUGACGCGAUGUUGUUGUGUGCAAGUAGCGAUAAGCGGGGAAUGGUCUCAGAGGGUAGUGUUGGUUAACAUCAGCAACCGGCGGAAUCCAGCACUGGAUCCAGCGGGGCUGAAUCAAUGUUGAGGGGAUAUUACCCCGGGUAGUGGGGCAGCAGUAGCGCAGGACCAGCGCCCCAUGAGCCACACAACGGCGGGGGGUGGGGUAGGGUGGUGAGCUCGACCCAAAAUUAAGUAAAGAGUAUUACACAUUCACACUGAUACGAAUUAAGACGAGUAGAAAAAACGCUAAAAUGUCGUGACCCAGAUGAACAUAAAUCCUGUAGCGGGUGAAGAAAUGAAAGGAGGCAAGUGUGCCAGCUGCGCGCUUUACAAAGGCGUGUGUUAAGAGGAGGAGUAGGAGCAAUCCAAGCCCCGUCACAGCCGAGGAGGCCGCGGUUCCCCGCCAUGCGGCUUUUGCCACUGGCUGCCUGCGACGAACCCCUUUCGUCUGUUGUUUUGCCGCCUGCACCGUGUCACUCUCCCUAAUGCGCGCAACAGCAAAAGCUCUCGCGCCUUCCGCCACCUCUGCAUCACCACUGGGGCGACCGACCUGACCAGGGCCGAUCCACAACUGCGGCGCGGUGUCGGUCCCCCCCGGAGAGCCCCCCAUUCCACCAAGCACCCGCCAAACCACUCUUCUUAAACAUUAACCCAGUCAACCAGGCACCCACCCAGUUACACAACGGUCUCGCCAUGCAAACCCAGAAUGCCGUUUUUGCCUUUUAUCUCUAUCCACAAUACGGUAGUGGUCAAUGUCUGCACCGUACUACUAUCUGCCGUACAUGGGUAUCGUGGGGCGCAUUGUAACAUUACAGCAUAUUCAUCGCAAAUGUGGAAAGCAGACGACUUACCAUGGUGCGUAACUAUCAAGUAUGGCAACUUCGUAUGUACGAAAAAUAACGCUGAGUACAUCACCGCGACGAACUGAGCACCAAGCUAUGUCGCAGAUGAGACCGUUUCUGCAAAAUUACAAGAAGAUGAUACCAACAAAAUCGAUUGAAAGGGAUUGAACGUCCGCAGAGAGCGCAAUCGGAAAAAAACGCGCGCAAAUUACGCUUACAGCAACAUUCUUGGCUGCGACAACCUCGACUUCCUUCGAUUCGCUUUCCCUCUUACCAUCUCUUCCCGCUUUUUCCCGAAAUCAGCAAGGGAUGGUACCCAUAGCGCCAGCCUCUCACAUAGUCGCUUCACUUACGAGAACAGUUGUACACGAGACGCAUACGCAAGACCGCGCAUUUACAGACCGCAUCUGGACUGACGCUCCAACUCACCUUUUCUCCAUCUGAUUUAAAAGCCAACGCGCAUACGCAAAACUGGAUCCUUCCGUACAACCAGCCACGCUCCAAGCGCCAAGCGUCGGGCCGCCCUUCCGCCAUGCGCAGCAGCUACAACAACAAUUGCGCCGGGCCCCCUUCCACAAUCCCCACACCUGACCAUAUCUGUCUGACUGUAACAAGGCCACUCAUACGUUGACGUGCUGCAUCACGUCCAGCGAGGGCGCAGCAAAGCACCACCAAUGCUGCGGUUACGCUCUCCUCUUUCUGCCCCCAAACACCCUAAACGCCAGCUCCCCCUCAUCCAACAGCUACACACAACCCGAUACCAGCCGCCAGCUGCUACGAGAACAGCGCCUCCUCCAGCAGCGCCACCACGGUCCCCAGCACCCGACCCACCACAGAGGAGCCAGCCGACCACAAACUCAGCCCCACCAACAUCAUCUGCAGACGGGUGCGGUAGGCCAGAGAGGCGAAGGACCUGAGAGCCGACCCCGGGAGCCCCCCGGUGAGCCGGGGAGGGGUUUAUGAGGGGAAAGGGCAGCGGCGGGGCAAGGAGAAGCGAGGGGGGUGAGAGGGGAGAGCGCAGGGGGGGGGAAAUCAAGGAACUACUGGGGAGGACUGCGACGUGGCGUCAGUAAUCAAUUAAUUGAAGGUCGGAUCGGAUCAACGGUGAUACGAAACAGAGGGCUGCUCAGGGGCCGGAGACCCUGAACAGGGGACAUCACCGGCCACCAGCCACGGCCCCCUUUUGCGCCUCACAGCACAACCCUAAGAAACCAGGUCUACGCUUUUAAUAACACGGGGAAAGUACAGAAUGCAGAGAGAACCGAUACACCCAUAAAUACGCACAUGCACGGCAUUAUACACACAUACAUGCACACAAACAGCAUGUCGUACCUAUGCAAGUAAACCGGACCCUCGUCGUCGUCGCCGCGUCGCCGCCGCCGCCGCCACCAUCGCCGCCACGGCGCCACCGGCGGCAGCCCCCGAGCCGCUACCGCCGAAUAGAUCUGCAGCCGCUCCGUCAUCGCAACCCCUAGGGCCGCGGACGCCGCCCUCACCACCGUCACCACCCUCAGCAGGUCCACCAGGUGGCGGCUGACGGUGGAGAGCAGGGAGGUCAUGUCGCCCAGGGUGCGGACACCGAUGCGCUCCCGCAGCGCCCGCUCCUCUGCACGGUUGCGGGCUCGCUGAGUGAGCAGCAGCGGCAGCACCCGACCGCCCCGCUCGCCCGCCAUGUCCGUGGAGAUGUCGGCCUGAGAGGGACGGGACGGGACUAACAUCCGAACAAAUCUGAAACCCAGCCAGCUUGCCCCCCGCCCUACCUCCCCUCUUCCUUCCCCCUCCACACACACACAACAACACACGCAGUCCGGCUCCCAUGCCCCCCAUGCAGCCACCCCACCCCCCGUGCUCGGGCUCCAUGCAGCCACACCCGUUAUCACCACCAUCACCAUCACCACCACCAUCACCACCAUCACCAUCAUCACCACCAUCACCACGUCGCAAAGUCCAUAAAAACGUAACCCCCCACCCCGCCCACAUCGCUUCGGCAGCACACCCGGCAGCAGCACCUGCACUACCCCGCGCUAUCUCACCAAAUCAACUCCGUCCCCGUACCUGCGUGGCCUCGUCGUGCAUCACCGCGGCACACCACAACUGACAAAACUGCUGACGGAGCUCCGGAGCCACCUGGGGGGUUGAGGGGGCGGGGGUUCAUAAUAAUAACAAUAACAAUAAGAACAACCUGAUGAGAGGGCUAUGGGGGGGCACAUCAUGAUGAGGAUGGGGAGACGGGACUGAAAAACGCGAGGUGGGAAGUCCUGGCAUCCAGGAAUGUGGGGUUGGGUUGGGUUUAAGGGUUACGCAUGCCCUUGGGGCCCAGUGACGGGUGUUACGAUAUCAAAGGUGUGUGUGUGUGUAAAAGUCAAAGAGAAGAAUAUCAUCCUUCGUGCCCAGCAUGCGUCCAAAGCACACCGCCAACUGGCUGCUGGAGUCCCAAGAUAUGUUGCAACUGGCCAUCUUGGCGGAGGAGGGGGAGGGGGGGAAGGGAGAGGAGAGGAGAGUGGAACGAGGAACGUGAUGCGAACUGCCACAUCCCCUUCCAGCCCCCAGCGAGGCAGGCAGCUUCCUUAGCCUUAGCCUUAGCCUUAGCCCCGCCGUCCCCCCUGCUGCCGUGUCGACUUGUGUGUGUGUGUAUAUGUGCAUAUAUAUACACAUAUUUGUGUGUGUUAGAGAGAGAGAUGCUGUGUGUAUGCUCCGGUCCGCUAAGGAAACCCAUCUCCUCCGCGGCACGACGGGUUUCCCGUCGCCAAUCAUCCCCCCACCUGCCCCCCCCUCCCCCCUCCCCCCAACCCACCUCGAGGUACGUCCCGUGGUCCAGCACCACGAUCUCGAAGUCCCGACGAGUCCCCCGGAACAGCCACCUCAGGAAGUUGGGUCGACCUGACGAGACGGUUGGGUAGGGUGAUGGGGUGGGUUGGGUGAUGGGGUGGGUUGGGUGAUGGGGUGGGUAGGGUGAUGGGGUGGGUUGGCUGAUGGGGUGGGUUGGGUGAUGGGGUGGGUAGGGUGAUGGGGUGGGUAGGGUGAUGGGGUGGGUAGGGUGAUGGGGUGGCGGUAGGUAGUUGCCAUCACAACCGGGGGGAGAGGGCUUGUACGGGACAUGGGGGCAGGGCGGGGCUGGGGCGGGGGGAAGGUGGAGGGAAAGAGGGACGCCCCUGCCCCCCCUGCCCCGGCCAUGCAUUGUGGGGUGGGGUGGGGUGCAGAGGUGGGUGGACGCGGGUGGGGGUGAGUGUGUGGGGGUGAGGGUGGGGGUGAGGGUGGGCCCCGCUGGAGGCUGCUUACUACAUCACGAAAGAGUGCACCCCACACUAACCGUACAUAUACUUCCCCAGCCAAUCAAAUCCGACGUGUGUACGGCCAUACCUUUAGGUCGUACCAUAAGGUUGCCCGGGUGUGGGUCACCUGCGGGCCACAGAUAUAAGGAGGGGAGGUGGGUUGGGAGCGGGAGGGGGUGGCGGAAACCAGGAGAGGAGGGUGGAAGGGGCGGGAGCACAAUGGUGCCGUCAAUGCCCAUAUGCUUCAUAUUCUUACCCAUUUUACCAGUUCAUAUCAUGGUUUAGAUUCGUACUUUCACCCCCCCCCUGGCGCCCUACGCUGACUUAACCGCCAAUUGUCGCCCUCGCUGCCGCUCCCUCCCCCGGAGCUGCUCAGCUCGCUCGUGGUUCGUCCUCCCCCCCCCCGAACUGCUCAGCUGCCAUCCGAUGGGAUGAGCCCGUGUGGACAUUCACCACCAGCACCAGCACCACCACGUCCACACUACCACCUAGCCUCAUCAUGCCACGCCAGCAUGGAAGAUAUCCGUACAUCCACACCGGCUUCCAAAUCGCCGCACACAGUUUCUGAUCUCGUACUGCAACCAACUCAUCGCAUCAUCGCAUCGCACACCCGCCAAACAGCACUACCGUACUACACCGUACAACACGUGCCGUACCAUGUACAUAUCCGUGUAUGAACAUGAGCUCCCCAAAAAGCUUGACCAGCUGCCGACCCACCAGACGGGGGUUGAUCCCCUGACAGGGUGGUGGUGGCGGGUGGUGGUAGUGGUUGGGGGUUGGAGGAGAAGGACGCAAGAGGAAGGUAACAGGGGGGUGCGGAGUUUAGGAAACGACAACGGGAGUGAAGAGUGUGUGUGUGUGUAGGGGGGGGGAAUAUUGGGGGAUUGCGCCGAGAGGGGUAUAUCUCUAGCUCACUCUCACACCCACUCACUCACUCACUCACUCACUCACUCUAUCCAUACGUCGCGGGACAUACACACACAGCGCUAAGUAUACCCAUUCUCUUCCGUCCCCUACUCCAAAACACACACGCUCUCUCUCACACACACACACACACACACUCACACACACACACACACUCACUCACUCACUCACACACACACACACACUCACUCACAUACACACACACUCACACACUCACUCACAUACACACUCACUCACAUACACACACACUCACACACUCACUCACAUACACACUCACUCACAUACACACACACUCACACACUCACUCACAUACACACUCACUCACAUACACACACACUCACACACUCACUCACAUACACACACACACAUACACACACAGUGCCCCCAGUACCCCCAAUCCGCUGACCCACCCACCUGUCUCUGCAGCGCCUCCACGUCCGUGAUCUUGGCCCCCUCGAUCCACUCCAUGAUGAGCACCUUGCUGCUGCACAGCCCCUCGUGGAGCUCCGGAACCACCACACGACCCCCCUCGCCCGCAUCCCGCAGCACGGACUGGAACCGCCGACUGUUGCGAAUCUCAUUCCUGAACGGGAAGGAAAGGCGGACGGACGGACAGACGAAUACGCGGCGACCAGAACCGGGUCUUGCACCAGGUAGCUGGAGGGUGUGAGGCGGCAGGGGUAGCAGGGGACGGGGAAGGUGGUGGUGGCCUGGCGUAUGUCCGCUUCCCGAGCCCGCGGGGAAGUCCGGCGUGAAACAGGAUGGGCGCAGUGGAUCAGGUUGUGUGCGCACGUAUGUAUGUAUGUAUGUAUGUAUGUAUGUAUGUAUGUAUGUAUGUAUGUAUGUAUGUAUGUAUGUAUGUAUGUGUGUGUGUGGGGGGGGUGCAGUGAUGAUAGGAUCGAAAGAUACCCUGCACCGCAGAUUCAGCAGCACGUGGACGAGCAGGUGCGAGGGCGGAGAUGGAGAGGCGUGUGGUUACCAGUAGCGGUGAGUCAGCGUGAGCGGGCCCCUCCCCGGCCCCCUCGCCGCCCCACUGCCCGCCGCACACGUCAGCCACUGAGCUCCCACACAUCGCACCUCUCUUGCCGCUACUACCUCACAACAGCAGUACCCAGCAGCGGGGCCCCAUUCGAUGCACACCCCCCUCCUCUCAACCCCNCUCCUCUCAACCCCCUCNNNNNNNNNNNNNNNNNNNNNNNNNNNNNNNNNNNNNNNNNNNNNNNNNNUCACCCCCCCCCACUCCGCGCACCUGAAGUCCAGCUCCACCUCCAGUUUGGCCGCCAGCUCCUCGUACAGCCAGGCUAGUCGGAUGUCCGGGAACAGGGCUGAGGCGGCCGCUGCCAGGGCCUUCAUGGUGGCCAGGUCGGCGGCCACAGAGCUAGCCAGACCGGGGUACUGGACCUGUAGGUGUUGGGGGGGGGGGGAGACGAACCACACACGAUUGAAGCUGCUGCCAGGGCAAGAGAGUAUCAAACGUAGAACUGACCGAAAGGCGUCCAUGGGGUGUGGGGGUGUGGGGGGUGAGAGGGGGGUUCAGCGGGGCCCACAUCCUCACACCCUCAUCAUGUAAGGCGACUGGGCGGCAAGUCCUACCAAGCCCCCCGAUAAUACUUCCAAUCCAUCCGGCACCCCCUUCCACUCCCACACCCGAUUCCGCACACAUACACACACACACACACACACACACAACCAUCUCUCCCCCUUUGCCGGCCCUCCUCACCUUGACCGCGACCUCCCUGCCAUCCGCCAGCACCGCCUUGUGCACCUGCGCCAGGGAGGCGGCCGCAGUGGCCCGCCGGCUGAAGGAAGAGAACACGGAGUCCACUCGCUCGGGGCCGCCCAGCUCCCGCUCCAGGGCGCGGCGGACCUGGCGCGUGUGCGGGCGGUUUAGGGUUUUAGUAUGGGCUUAGGGUUUUCUAGGAUAUUUUUGAAGGUAGUUUGUUUUCCGAGCUCUAGGACGGGGGGGUCGAGAUAGGAUUCCGGGCGCGUGUGGGUAGCCGGGGUUUCCGGGGCGGGUUGGAGGGGAGAAGUGCGGAGGAGGGUUAGGGACUGGGGAGGCGGAUAGCUGCCUAGGGAAUUUAGGGAAACAGGAAAUGCCGCAGUUUAAGGUGGGGUGUUGGUGAGAGUCAUGUCCUGAACAGCCUUCACGGCUUUUGCUUCAAGGUGGCCGCCCAUAAGAGAUGACGCCGGACAUACAGACUGCGACAGGAAAAGGCAAUGGCGGGAACCGGAGCUGUCAAGGGCCUUACACUACCGCAGUUAGCGCAACAAUAAGGCCCACCAGUGGUGAGAGGCGAAUUGCGCGGGAAUUAUGGAGCUGUAAAGCCAAUCAAGUAACACAUUUUCAAAACUGGCAAGCCGUACUUCUGCCGUACAUAAUGUAGCUUAGAGGCUAUACUAGCUUCGCUGGUGCCGCACCUAAGCUGCAAAGUGGGUCGGCAGGCCCAAAGAGAGGAGCCGUUUUGAAGCCCUCUGGCUCACGGACCCCCUAGAAUCCCCCUUUCCCCAGAUAGCCCCCGGGCAGCGAAGCCAACCUCAGUGAGCCGCACACGUCCACGUGGCGACAAACACGGGGGAGGCAAACACACACGGCUGUCAGUUCCAUUCCAGGGAGCCGUACCACUUUGUACGGAUUGGGUACGGCACGGUCCUCCAGCUGUGACAGUACGGUACGGUAUUCCCGGGGCACGCCCCCAAACGCCGCUGCAAACUGUCCCGCCUUGACGUACACUCCGCCGUUGCGACGACAGACCUGGCGGGGGAUGCAAGGGGGGUUUAGGGGUACGUGGGGUUAGGAGGGAAUGACAUUUAAACGCGGGAAAAACCCUAACCGUGUCCAGAUCACCACUACUCAGAGAUCACCAUACAACCAAACCGCAUCCCAUCCCAUCCCUUCAUCCCUCCAUCCAGAUUGAAUCCCGCCAGGACUACGCGGAGGGCCUUUGCAUCCGCAAGUCGCUUCGGACCCGUUUCGUGUCGACACCACCAUCACCACCACCACCACCACUAGGAGCCCUUCUCGCUGCACACCCGGACCUCUGAACCCCCCCCUGUCACAGCCCCUCCCCCGCAUGUCGAAGUCCCUCACGCGGGCCCCCGCCCCUACCCUGCCGCCCCGGACCGGGUACCUUCCCCCUCCCCCCCCAGCUCACCGCCAGGAGCUGCUUAGCCCAGUAGGUAUGCAGCUGGCUGAGGGCCGCCUGGUAGGCCUCGUCGUGCUCCGUGUCGGCGCCGUAGCAGGAGGCCUGGAAAUGCGGGUACGUAUGUAUGUAUAUAUAUGCAUGUAUGUAUAUAUAAAUGUACGCAUAUAUGUACGUACGUAUGUACGUAUGUAUACACGUCAGGCCAGGGCGCCGACCCCUACCGGCGCUAUCCUCUACUGCCCCCCCCCACCGCCCACCUGAAAGCGCUUGUAGCUCAGGCUAGCCCGAAUGGCCCACAUAACUGUACGUAACGUCCGUGGAGCUGCCGCCGCCAGCGACGUCGCCGUGUCCGUCGCCGACGCCACUGCCGCCGCGCCGGCGACGAGUGCUGACGUCACAACCAAAAAGUACAGCCGCCGUACAGCGACGACGGCCAGAGCGUGCACUCGCCGUGCCAGCGCCGUGGCAUCUGCCGCCGCAGCGGCGGCGCCGCGCGGCAGCAUCACCGAUGGCGACACACUACCGCCGUACGGAGCGUACGGAAAUCCGUACACGUACGCUCCCCGGUAUAGUGGGUACGACCCCGCGGAGGAAUGCGCGAACUCCGAGUGGCCGCGCAGGAGCGCCAUGUAGCGCACUGCGCGAGCGAAAAUCACCCGCAUUCCUGCCCAGCCCCACUACCCUCCCUCUCCUCAACUAACAAUUAACAGAGCGCACAGCAGUACGGUAAACAGCUCCUCCCUAGUGCUGCGCCUUGCUUGUAGCCCCACUCCCUCUCUCUUCCUCUCUCUUUUUCUCUCUCACUCUCAGCUUAUAGGAGCCAAGAAGAGAGUGCCGAACGCCGGUUCUCAAUCAAGGAUCCGCGGGGACCAGAGCCCGGCCCCGUUCCUAUGACCUCCUGAGAGGCCCCCCACCUCUCUUUCUGUCUGACAGCUAAGAGGGCGCUAAGAAGAGACGCAACAGCCGCCGCCGUCCGUGUUGCUGCCACAACCCCGCUGGGUCAACAACUUCCCUGUUUGAAGCCCUUCCCAACCCCCGUCCGCCCCCUCCCCGCGCUGCGCAAACCCAGAAAGCUCUUCGUGGGCCCCACGUCCGCACCGCCGGCUCUACGCUUUCCCGGCCACCACUUGCCGCCGCCGCCGUCGCCACUACUACGGCACUGCUGUAUGCAGCACACCCUGUCGUACAACUGCCCCUUCCGUGCCCUUCCUGUCCACGUGCCCUCCUCUUCCUCCUCCUCCUCCUCCCGGCGCCGCUGCUCUACUCCGCGUCCGGCAGCACCUCCAGGUCGGCCUCCACCCAGACCAGAUGCCUGCGAGGUGGGGGCCCUGCCGCCUGCUGCUGGUGUAGCUGCUCUUCCUCCCCCACGUCACCUCCCUCCUCAGCAGCCUGACGCCCCUGUGGAUGCUGCUGCUCCUGCUGCAGGCGCUGUGGUGGCUGUGGAGGCGGCUGCUCUUCCAGCCCCUCUUGCUGCACCUGGGCUGGGGCCUGAUUCCUUUGGGCGCGUGCCCCGCCGCCGGCACGCAGCCGUUGAAACUCCGCGCGAUCGGCUCCAAAGUCCUCGGCCUCUAAAUCGGAAAGCCAGUCGGAGUCAGCCCCCGAGCCUGAGUCUGAAUCCGAGCUGGAGAGGAGGGGGAUAUCAGGGUCCCCGUUGAUGGCGUCCGGCGCGGGACGUGGCGGGUGUGGACCCUGUUCCGGCUCAGCGACUGCUUGCUGCUGAGCUGGAUGAGGUUCGGGUUGAGGCUGAUUACCGACCAGGACUUGCGCUGCGGGCUGUCCCCCCGGAAGGUGCUCAGAAGGGAGGGCAAGCGUGGGAUCCGCCUCGCCUGGGCUUUGCGAUAUGACCUGGGGACCCCGGUGCCAAAGGGGCUCAUUGAAGACAAGCUUAAAGGUGUCCUUUAGGUCAUGCCUAAAUGUGGGAUUACCUGCAGCAGCCGAAAACGAGCGAUUGCUGGAGGCAGGGAUUGCUUGGAGGCGUAUAGAUUUAACAAAGGCGUGCGCAGUAAGACUUGGGCUGCAAUGUUUUUUUGCUGCUCUAGACGGUAAUCCUCCAUGCUAAAAGUGGCGGGUUCCGGGUGUGACGAGCAUCGACCUGGUUUGACGUUGGACAGAUGCAAAUGAGCUUAUACCCAUAGAAGGACAAACAACACAAAACAAUACCAUAUGGCCCUACGCUCUACGUAUUAGUACGAAUCGCCUCCUGGUUAAACACCCCAAAAAGCAACCCAGUCCAGGUCAGCACAAUGUCAGCAGCAUUCCAGGACUGUUAUAUUGCAAUUCCCUAUGCGUUUGAUGUUAAUUGCGGACUGUGAGGAUCACCUACCUGCUCACUCUCCUUCAACUUCGGGAGUCUCUCCGUACGGUAUUCGUGCAUCGAGUAAGGGUUUGGCCUCAUGGAAAUAUGCCUGAAGCGAGCGAUUGCAAACAAGGGCCUCACUUCUUAACGCGUUAUGAUGUGUUCGGAAGGGACAAACCUAACUACUUGGCUUGGAGGAACCGUGUACCACAGGCGAUGAUUCGGUCACUGUCCAAGAAACUGUGUCUUUGGUAGGUCCUGAUCACAAGGGGGGUUUAAGAAUAUGAAUUAACUUGUCCGUUUAGGGUAGCUCUUUUGCAAACGAUCUAGGCCUUUCUGAGCACUCUACUUUCCUUUUACAUAACUAGGUGGCCACGACGCCGCCGCAGGCCGGAUCUCCUGUAAACCACAGCCACGGCCGUGGGGUCGCCAACACGGGAUCUCGGGUCUUCUGAUCGCCAUGAAGGACCACGCGGUGGGCUCGGGCGCAGGCGAGGUCCCCCGGCCAUUCCGUGCCGUACUGGUGACCGGCGCCAGCGGGCUCGUGGGGUCUCACGUGGUGCGGGCGCUGCUGGCGGGGCAGCUGGCGGAGGAGGCGAGUGGGGGCACUGUGUUUCGCUCCCCUGGGCGGGUUCGCCUCUUCGGGUAGUGACCGGGGUGGGGGCCCGGGGGCGCGCUCCAUGGGCGCAAUGAUGGGUUCAUGAUUUGGGAUUGGGUUAGGAUGCGGAUGAAGGUGAGGAUGGGAGGUUCCUGCGUCCUUAUCUCCUCCGCUCCCUCCCGCGCCAUCUUCAUUCCCUCCUCCCCUUAAGGGAUUGGAGACAGCGUUGUUGGGUGGAGAGCGGUAUCACAAAGGGGUGUCACGAUGGUGCGCUGCAUGACGGAACCGGCACCCCUAGACAUGCGCCAAUGCGCUACUUACACGGCUACUACUCCGGCUGGCCGCCAAGCGGCUCUGCAUCGCACCCUGAACCCCGGCCGGAACCCCAACCAAAACCUUACUGAAACCCAACCAAAACCUAACUGAAACCUGCCAAUACCCAACGGAAACCCAGCCAAAACCUAACCGACCCACUUGCGACACGGCAGGUUCGCUGCCUGACCCGGCAACCCACUCCCGAGCUCCUCCAGCUGGAGAGGGACCAUGCGGGCCGGGUGAAGCUAUGUAUCGGGUGAGCGGCAGGAUGAGAAAGGAAUUAGUGUGUGUGUGUGUGUGUGUUAGCAAGGACUGGGCUGCAUGGCAAAGGAGAGUCAGUGGGUGGUUGUGGGUCCAUUGGUCACACCAUUGGGGAUGUCGGCUCCGCGCCCCGGUCUCCCACCUCGGGCCCCCCGUCUUGGGGAUUUCGCGGGAAACCCCGGCAACCCCGCACAGCAUAGCACCGCACCCCUUCCGCCUCCCCGGCCUCCUCCGCCCCCUGCGCACCGCCUCCCCGGGUUUUGGCUCCCGCAGUGACGUACCUAUAGCUCUUACGCCCUUACGCCCUUCCGGCCCGGUCGUGUACGGCACGCAGCGAUAUGCUCGGCCCAGCCUGCCGUACAACCGUGGCGCCUCACCUAACCGCUGAUGGGGGCUGCGACGGUCUCAUCAACUGCGCUGCGCACUACCGCUGGUGGAGCCGCAGUACGGAGAUGUACGGCGCUCUAAACGAGGUGGCGGUUUCGGAGCUUAUGAAGCUGGCUCUGGAAGCCAAAGUUACACAGGUGGGGAUGGCUGCGUGGCUGUGUAGCAGGACCGCAUGGAGUAGUGUGGGGGUUUUGUGAUCUGAGUUUUGAUGUCGCUUCUGGAGGGGAACGUGAAGAACCCCAUCUCUGUGUUUGACGAAAGGCCCGAGAGGAUAGAGGAUAGCCGCUGACCCCGCGAGUUAUUAUUCCUCUAGGGUUUCACUAUCGCCAUAUUCGUCAACGCGGCUUCUGAUCAUAAAAAAUCACGUGUUGUAAAAUUGUGGGAUUUCAGAGCUGAGGCAUAUUCUGACAUCCAAACGGUUGCGCAGGUGGACAGAGUGGGCUUUUGUCGCCGUACAUUCGGCCUAUGGCCCCACGUGUCGCACCACUUCACUCCGCAGGGCUCUGUCUCUCCUCACCGCACCACAAGCUCGCUAACCCCCCCACCCUCAUCCACGUCGUACAUCACUGCCGUACCAGAUCGUACAUGUCAGCACCAUCCUCGCAAUGGGAUGCCCUCCCGGUGGCUGGGGCUCCCCCACGCGUCCCCUCCAACCCGACACGCCCCCGGGGCCCACCGCCAGCCUCUACGCACGCAGCAAGGCGGCAGGUGAUGCGGCUGUGUUGCGGCUCGCUGCGGAGACCGGGCUGCCUGCGUGUGUGGUGGCGCUGGCAUGUGUGGUGGGUGCGGACCGGAGGCUGGUUUCUGGGCCCCAGGACGACGUGAUGCGAAUUGCGGAUUUGGUGCGCGGCAAGGUGGGUGCGAGCUGGUGGCGGAGGUGAUGGCGGUGGAUAGGGAGGGAGGGAGGGAGGGAGGGAGGGAGGGCCCCCUCACACCCCUUUUACCCCUCUCAACCCCCACACCCCUCACCCGGCUAAUGGGCCGGCCCUGCGACCGUUGCCUCCCGUGCAGGUCCCAGCGGCCCUGGGCCAUGACACGGUGUUCACCUACAUCGGGGUGCGGGACGCUGCCGCAGCCAUUGCCGCCGCGCUGCUGCGAGGCCGACCUGGGCGCAGAUACCUGGUGCGUGUGUGGCCGUGGGUGAGGUGAUCAUGCACGGUGACGGGGGCGAUGUUUGGCGGCACUACCUGAGAGUCCUAGAACGGGUUUUAUAACCCACACAUACAUACUUGCGAGCUGACCAGGGACUAAGUUGAUGCGUCGUUGAUCCGCUAGAUUUGGUUGGAUGCUGGUGGUGAGUUGCCGAACCCAACGAAUACAUUCUGAAGUCUGAUGGGGUGACGGAUUAGGGUGCCCCUCUAGCAGGGGAGAGCAGGGACUGCCCCGGGAAAGGGGGCCGCUGGCGAAGUUAACCACCCUGUAACAAC
rnacentral:lncRNA from 1 species